AUGCUUCGCCCUUCUUCUUCUCUUGCGAGCAGCGGCGCGGCUACUCUCACCAUCUUUGACUUCCAGUCACGGAACCUCCCCGAGAGUAGGAUGAAUGUUGUUCUGCAGCGACUCAGAGAUGAAUCGGUGAUGAGGUUGAAGAUGAAGAUUCAGUUCAGAGAGUUAGAAGAUUUGGAUAAUGGUGAUGAAGGUGCAGAGAGAGAAAUCCGAGAAACGAGACUCAAAGCUCAGUGA